rnacentral:rRNA from 1 species
GACGAACGCUGGCGGCGUGCCUAAUACAUGCAAGUAGAACGCUGAAGGAGGAGCUUGCUUCUCUGGAUGAGUUGCGAACGGGUGAGUAACGCGUAGGUAACCUGCCUGGUAGCGGGGGAUAACUAUUGGAAACGAUAGCUAAUACCGCAUAAUAGUAGAUGUUGCAUGACAUUUGCUUAAAAGGUGCAAUUGCAUCACUACCAGAUGGACCUGCGUUGUAUUAGCUAGUUGGUGGGGUAACGGCUCACCAAGGCGACGAUACAUAGCCGACCUGAGAGGGUGAUCGGCCACACUGGGACUGAGACACGGCCCAGACUCCUACGGGAGGCAGCAGUAGGGAAUCUUCGGCAAUGGACGGAAGUCUGACCGGGCAACGCCGCGUGAGUGAAGAAGGUUUUCGGAUCGUAAAGCUCUGUUGUAAGAGAAGAACGAGUGUGAGAGUGGAAAGUUCACACUGUGACGGUAUCUUACCAGAAAGGGACGGCUAACUACGU